UCUUGCUGUCCUUUGAGAGGCUUCAUUUAGUGCAAUACAUUUUUUCCCAAGUUUAAGGGGAAGGAAAAGCAUCUCUGAUUGAAGAAGCUGGAGAGAUUUAUGCCUCUCAUUCUGAUAAUUAUGGUAGAAUGUUGCCCCAUAUGCUGUGGGCAGUGCCUCCAAGAUGCCCGGGACAAAGACAAGGUUUGCAAGCCUGUGCGGCUGAGUGGCCACCCUCUGCUCUCAGUACCCCUACAGCAGUGAGGAUGGAUGUGCUCAUGUUUCUUACCAGCCCUGUUCUCCUUUAGACCAGUGACAUUUUGCCUGUAAAAAUAGAUCUGUCAGCAAGCUGGCUCAAGUGUCUUUCUCAGACCGAUGUGAGGCUCUGGUCACAAGAAAUACUGCAAAAGGGAAGCGCUACUGGCAUCUAGCAUCUAGUGACUGGAGGCCAAGGAUGCUCAUGAACAUUCCACAAUGCAAAGGAACAGACUGCACAGCAAAAUCCAGCUCAAAAGGUCAAUCGUUCCCAAGGGUAUCUUUGCAAGUGAGAAGAACCCCAGUCCUCCACUCUCCAUAUGCAUUUCUGUAACAUUUAGUAAUGUUUAUGAUUUGGAGAACAAAUUUAGAGAGAACGAUACAACAGAAGAUAUUCCAGAAUGGUAAAUCCAGGCCAAAAGCAUGGUGGAAACUGAGUGUCUCUGGUCCUCUAGAACACACGUGGACCUACUAUCUUCAAUGAAGUCUCACAACAGUGUCU